CCGCUCGAAUCAAAGCAGCCCGAGGAAUGCUCUAUGAUUCAAUUCCAGAAAGUAAAACAUAAAUCACAGUGAUGAGAACCCCUACGCUUACAAUUCAUUACAUCCGUUCAGGGUGCCGAGGGGAAAGGCUGAACUCCAAGCCCCAUCCCUGGAGGCAGGACACCAUUGCCGCAGCCCUCUCCCGACUGGCACAGAAGAAGUAUAUUCAGAGCUUAUAGAACCUUCUUAUCACUGCAAACAACAUCAUUCACAAUGACGAAUGACACGGGAAUGCCCUAUGCAUGCACAGGUACAGGAAACACACAUGUCCCGCAAGUGUGCUACACAGGCACACACAUGUUUUGUGCUGUUCUCACUUUCUAAAAAUUUGUUUUGCCCUUUUAUUCUCACCUGAUUCUGACUAAUGCAUUCUUUCUGUGCUUUAUCUGUCUUUGCAAGUGACUCUAAAUCUUUUCUGGAACAAGAUGUUAUAUAGUUAAUAAAUCUCUCUUAAUACAUAUUCAUUACAAGUCAGCCCUCACAAAGCAUGAUUGGAAUGAGACUUAUAAUUCUCUUUUUUUAAAAACCAAAAUCAGUCUUCCAUUAUUUUUUUACGCAAAUACCCAUAAAUGUGGAUAAAUGCAAUCUGUCAUUUCUUUUUUAAGGAAUAAAGAUACCUAUGUUUGCUUAAGGAGUUUAUCCUUUAUUACCAAAAUAGUCUUUCCUUUCCCACUUUAGGUCUCUGGUCCCCAUCACCAGCCCACCAGAUAUUUCAAAAUAAAAUUCAUCUUUGGGCCUAGAGCCAGCUGAAGAAGCGUGAGUUUAAAAAAGCUACUCAAAGUAGGCUUUGUAAUGAAAGAAACAUUUCAAAGAUAAGUAAACAAUGUCCACAAAAUGAAUGCAUGGAUGGAUAGCGAUCAGAAAAAAAAAUUAAAUUACACAAUAAUUUUGUGGGUCAUGAUUUUCUAUAAUAAAUCCUUCUUUUCCAGUUUCUCCAGCAAAUCCCAUGGUAUUCAAAGGGCCCAUAUUUUCAUGUUCCUCAGAUGAGCUUCUGCUGUUGGCUGUUUUUUACACUCUAUAGCCUGGCCUUCCAGGUCCAGCUGUUACGUCAUAUUCCAAACCACCUUUGCUUUCUCUUCUCUACUUUCGUUGCUCUUGGCCUUCCAGAUCUGUGUCCUGACUCUGGAGGAGAGCAAACAAUGGGCAAAGCCUGGCAUGCAGGAGAAGAUGUUGGGAAGUAGGUCUGCCAAUGGGAGAAGCAGGCAUUGCCCUUAUACAUCGCUGCUUGGUCACUGUCAGUGUCAUCUCUGAUCACAGCAGCCCCCAGCUCUGGGACACACAAGGACCCCAAGGUUCCUCAUAACUGAGGUCCACAUUUGUCAGGUUGACAUUUGAGGCUCUUCUGGGUCUGUGUUCUUUCUAUCAUGCUUUUACCCCAUUCUUCCUUCUCUCCCUACCUUGGCCCUUCUAUGUCCCAGCUACCUCAGAAAGUGCAAGGGGCAGAGGAGAUUUCCCAAGCCCUCUUCUCUCACCCACCAAUUUGAGAGUAAACCUGUUCCUUUCAGCAUUUCUUUCAGAGCAUUUGUCUCUAUGUCCAGUUUAGCACUUAGCAUGUUUUAGCCUGCUCAUUUCCAGAAUUCUUGGUAUUUUGUGUAUGUGUGUAUGUGUGUGCAUGUCAUUUCCUUCCUCAUGUCCUUGGAAAUUGGGUGGCAGGGGCUGGGCCGUGUUCACCUUGGUGUUCCUCCACCAUCACAGAAUCCUGUGGUGACUCACACAGAGGAAGCAUAAAAAAAGCUUAUCAAAUAAAUGAGCCAAGAGAGAACACAUGGAAGGAGGAACAAAAGCCACCCAAAAGGAAGAGAGUAAGGGGGCGGCAGAUGGGAGAGAAUCCUGACUGGGAUGGAAUGGUGAAGAACUGCGCUGCAGUAGGGAACCAGACGCUCACCCCGAGAGACCACGGGACUGUGGGAGCUGUGAAGCUUGGAAGGGACAGUUACUUGUUCAGAUGUCUGGCUUCUCUUCAUCUUCCUCCCGUUCACCCCCAUCAACACGUGAUAAAUCAGUGAACAUAUACUUCACUUUACUUGAAUUCCAUACCUUGGAGAUCUCUGAGAAAUAAUGCCUCCCGACAAUGUAAAGUAGUGCCCUCAUUCUUGCACAAGCUAAGAGGAAUAAUAAUUGUCUUGGGAAACUGUCAGGCUAAAGGAUCUAGGAGAAUGCUCUCCAGGCUGAUCUCAGUAACUUGUGUCUCUUCAUUUACAUUACUCCUCUUGGGCCCCCUCUAUCUCUCAGAUUUUUAACCCCUUUCCAAUGGCAAAUACCAGUGGUGUUAUGAGGGUGAGAUGGGGUGAAUGCAGCUGCUGAAUUCAUGUUUUCUUUGUAUUCCUCCCACCUCCUUAAACACACACAACUUAGAAUGCUUAGCGUUUUUCCAUGUGUCAAAGUUUCUUUGUCUCCCUUCUCCAGGACAGAGCAGCUCGCAUGUGCAUCCAGCUUCGAGUCAGUGUGUCAGGGCUCAUCUCACUGAAUUGUGACAGUAUGCUCAUCACACACCAGCCUGUAUGAAGGUAGAGACUUUGUUUUAACUCACUAUUAAAUCUGACCCACCACCACUCUGUCUGGGUUACACAGGCCUACUAAAGAGUUGUUGAGCGAAUACAUACACGAGCGUGAAGGAACAAAUAACAAAACAGAGGAAGUUAUCUCUUCACUUUAGCUUGCCAGAAAUUACUCAGUAUCUCUUACCUUUAGUUUUUGACUUUUGAGAAUCGUUAAAGACUUCGUCUCGGGUGUUGAUUCUCUUAAACAGCAAGCAAAAAUACAAUUUUAUGAAGAUUUAAUGAGACAGCAUCAUUGCCAGCUGAGUUUAUCACUCAGGGAGUUUAACAGAAAAUUUGUUAACAUUGUCUUUAAUUUGUUUAAAUAUUUAUGAACACUGCUUUCGAGGGGAUUCUUAUCUGGGGUUAUUGUUUUAUAGAAUUCAUUUUGGUGUGCUUUCAACCAUUUGGUGGUUCAUCUUACUUUAAUAGAUGCUGUUAGAAUUCUCUGUAAGUGAUUUGGAAUCUGAGUGGGAGUCUCUUUGGAUUUCAUUUCUGCUUGCUCCACCUUCCAAAGGCCCAGAUUAAAUCAAAGGGUCUGCCAUAAGGAUCUUGGAACAUUCAGGACAUGAGUCCUAAUCACAGCUCAUCAUCUUCAGAUAUGGAAUCUAGAUAAUCUGUGUCAACAUAUAGGAGAAAUCCGGAGAACAAGCUGUCUGCCCAACCUGGGUCUGAGAAGAGGCCGUUCUGGUCAGUGAAGAAGAUCUCCAGCCACACUUCAUCUUCUGGCUGCAGAUAGAUGACCGUGGACCCAGAAGCGACGUCAUGGUUCCCUGUGUUGGCGUCGAAUGUCUUUAUCUUGUACUGCCCGUUGUGAACUAGCCCAAUUGCCAGAUGCUUAUUUGCCAAUGUGAUAUCAUAAGAAAAGUAAUAGAUCCCUGGGAAGGCACAGAUGAACUUCCCUGUGGCAGGGUUGUAGUGCUCUCCCUCAUUGAAGAGGACCUUGUUAAAUAUAAUUGGUAGCCUUUCUUCUGGGUAGCUGGUAGUGAUGCCAACAGAAAAGGCAGAUUUGAGCACAAUGCUUCCGCAUCUACAAACUCCAGGCAGCCCUGGGUCCCCUUGCUCUCCUCUGUCUCCCUUUGCUCCAGGAGGCCCAGCUGGACCUACUUCUCCUUUUUCUCCCUCUGGUCCCAUGGGUCCUUUCUUCCCAGUCUCUCCUUGGUCCCCUUUCUCUCCAACAAGGCCCAGUGGUCCAGUCUUACCUCUCAAACCUUUAAAAAGAGUUUACAAUUUAGUUGAUAGUUCCUCCAUAUAUACAGUCACAAACAGCAUGCCCCACAAAGUGCCAGGACACCCUAGAUGUGUCUCUCCAAUCAACUUUCAAGAGUACACUACUAAAUACUAAUGCAUCUUUAAAAAAAAUCACUGAUGGAUCAAAACGGAAAUAGAAAAUUUUCAUCAGAAUUUCAGGUGGGGAGACUGAGCCACAGAGAAGUUAGUUUGCUCAAGAAAAUGGGUAGUAAGUGAUGGAGCUGUGACCUGAACUCACGCCUGCCUGACUCUGGAGCUUGAGCAUCCCCCCGAGGCAGGUGCUGGAGUGUACAUUGUAGAGUGCACCAGCACGUAGUGAGGGCUCUCAAUAUGCUAUGAUAACCAAACAACAGUGAGGGCCACCCCUAUGUGGUAGUCCUUUUUUGGAGGAGAAAAUUGAAUCCCAGAGAGGGGAAGAAACUUGCUUCUGUAGCAAGGUUAAGACUGGAAUCCGAGUCCUAGUGUAAUGAUGCUUCCCCUUCAUCAAAGUGCCUCUUACCUUUGGGGCUGGAAUCAAGAAUCCUAAAGUCUGUUUGGCUUUGCAGCUAAAUGGUUGUAUCAUUUUAGGCAAGUCCCUUAAUUUCUCUGGGUCUCCUUAUAUAUAGAAAAGACAUAAUAUCUGUGAAAGGAUUUCAACAAAUUCAAAAUCACCACAGUGAAAUAUUUUCUGUUUGUCUAAAUCUUUAUACCUACAGAUCAACCACAGGCUAAAUGCAGAGAAAUUAUGAUCAUUGGUUGAAACGGAUAAGCAACAUCUAUUCAAUUUUUAAACCAUAUAUAUAAUAUAUGUAAUGUAUAUUAUAUAUUAUAAAAAUAUAUUAUACAUAUGUUUUACAUAUAUAAUACAUAAUAUGUAUUAUAUUAUAUAAAAUAUUUAAUUAAAAUAUUAAUUCACAAAAUAUGAAAUGUCAUUUAAUUUUUAUGGUCAAAUCCAUUCUGUAAAUAAUGCUUGUAUAAUGAUAUACCCUCAAAAAUAUCCAAAUUAUUGGUAAUUUAUCAUGGCUUCUGUAGUCAGGGAAAAUAUAUUAUUGGUAUACUGUGUGGUUAUCUACAUACUCUUAACUAUGUAUUUGUUCUCGGGAACUUUUAUUAAGCUAAACCUUUUUAUCUUGAUAGUGCUCUGGUAUCAUUUAUUUGAAUAUUACAUGUAUAUCAGUGCUUGAGCUUAAUAAUUUUUCAGUUAUUUGGCAAAUGUAGGAAAGAAAUAUUCUGAAUAAUGCAAAUUUGGGGAGAAUUAAUGCUAUACCCUUAAAACGUACAGUAUUUUGUUUUAGUAAUUUUGGAAAGAGGUUUUUUAACAAUUUAUGAUGCACAGAAGAAUCUAAUAAUGAAAGAAACCCUUUUUGGUGACUGGUAUCAGUGUUAUUACUGAUCAUAGAACUCUCCUCAAGUUCUAGGUGGCUUUUGUUGUGAAGUUGAAAUUCCACUGGUCCCAGCCAGAGUAUAGUCUGUGUUUAUUUCUUGAAAUAGUCUGAACUUUUGCUUCUUUUUGGUAGGAAUAAGAUAUGAAUACUAUCUUACUGUUGAAUUUAUUUAUGAAUCGAGGACCACAACUUCUAAAUUGUUAUUUUUAUUUUCAAUAGGAGCUUAACUUCUGCUGUCUCCCUGAGUGGCCUUUGAUAUAUUAAUAAAAAACUUUUUGGUAUCAACAACAAUUUCAACUAUUAUGUACUCCAGUCCUCCUGCUUUUGUGACUUUGGGCAAGUCACUUCUUGUUUGUGUUUCCAAUGCUCCAUUUGUAAUAUGAAGAAUUAGAUUUAAGUCCAAUCUCAGUGUUUGGAUUUUCUAUGGUUAUUGAAUUAGAUAAUCAGGGAUUAGCUAUAAUAACUUGAAGUAAUUCUUCCUGUUUGCAUGAAGGAUUUGCACUUGUGCUAAGGACCAAUUAAUGAAUAAUGGAAUGAAGGGAUACAUCACUCUACCUUUUCCUAUUCAGGCCUAUGCUUGGGUAGAGAGGAGAAUUAAUGGAGUAGUUGUUAGUCUACGCUUAGGUACUGACACUUGGAGAAAGGAAUUCUUAGUUCUCUAGGAAAUGGGCUUAAGAAGAUUUCUUCUUCAGUACUAUUUCUUUCUCCCAUCCGUCCAUCCAUCCAUCCAUCCAUCCAUUCACAGAUUUAUAUGUGCAUGUAUACAUACAUCUAAACCAUGUAAUAUUUUUUGACCAUCCAUUACAUGCUAGGCACUAUGCAAGGGGCUGAGUGGGACCUUGACAUGAAUGACCCCUGUCCUACCCUCAAGUUAGCUGUUACUAUGUAUUAUACUGUGAUCUGCAAAUAUGUUCAUGAAUAUCUAAAGCCAUUUAAUAAAGUAGAGUGAUCUGUUUCAUAAGCUGGUUCUAAUGUUAUUUUAUCUAUAAGGAUGUGCAUUCAGAUUAAAUUAACUUGUGAUAUUAGGCUACAAGACUAAUUGCUAUAGACCAGUGAGGGAGGCAGAUAUUUUUAAAAGAACGUUUCUAAUUUGGUAUAAUAAGUUCUGUGCUUGUAAUUUAAGGUAAAGAAGUUGGACAAAACUAUGCUUGAUUGUGCUUGCCCUUGAUUGGAUGAAUGUGAAGGGGAUGUUUACCACGAGUAUAUGAAUGAGAAGACAUUUGUGGUAUCAUUCAAGGGGACAGAAGAAUCAAAGGACACAUUGUGUCCAGUUUCAGCUGCAUUAAAAGCUUGUCCCCAAAGCCCCAGAGCUCCAUUUCUAUUGUUCGUAAAUGGGGUGUGUUUUUCUUCAUUGAACAUACAGACAUUCCUAACUUUCUUGGCUCUUACAUGUCCUUUAUGUGUAUUUGUGUAUAUUGGAUUUAAGUCAUCUCAGGUUAGGGAAGUUAUUUUAUUUGUGAAUCUCAAUGUUUUCACUGUAACAUUGUAAUUGUUGAUUGUAAUGAUUUAUAACAGGGUUAUGGUAGAUGAUAAGUACUAAAUGUAAAAUUCCUGACAUAGUAAGCUCUUAAUAAAUGGUUACAAUGAUGAUGAUGAA